AGCGGCAUAGCUCAACGGUAGAGCCCGCUAGAAAAGUAAGUGGGACUAGGGCCAUCCACUAUACUUUUCAAAGCGGAAAUGUGGGUCCGACUCCCGCUGUCGCCA
rnacentral:tRNA from 1 species